AAGAAGAAGUCCCUACAUCCACUUGAACUUGUGAGGCUGCAGGAAUGUAGAUUCCUUAUACCAUUUAUACUCUCGUAAGUCUCGACCUAAAAAAAAAACUAUUUUCUCUCCUAAUUUGUUUCUUAAAAAGAUUUGUCACCAAGAGAGGCCUAAAAGAUCAAUGGUUAUAGGCUCAAAGUGGACAUGAAGGGCCAAGGGCUUGGGAGGUUGCAUGGUAAGAAGAAAGACCUCGGGAUGGCCCAAGAGGAGUCUAAACAUGGCACAAUUGGGCAUGAAGGUCUAUGGUCGACAUAAUCCGUGCAUGUGAGCAACUUAGCUCACAUGGGGGAAAGACAUGUGAGGAAAAGGGUACUUAUAAAUACGAGAUCUUCCCAUGUGUCUGAGAGGACACUCGUUCCUCUUCUUUUUCGCAUAUGAUUUUUGUGAUUAAUUUCCUUUUUCGAAUAAGGCUCAACUUUAAGAAGAAGUCUACUCCAAAUUGAAGAUAAAAUUUAAGGAGAAGAUAAAGGACACAUGAUGAAAUUCG
rnacentral:lncRNA from 1 species